CAGACCACAAAAAGCAAGUGCCUCAGAUAAAUGAGCUUCAAAGGGGAAAAAUGAUGCAACACCACAGAACAGAGCAGAAAGUCUUAGGAAUGAGGCAUGAAGGACUGAAACCAUUGGGACUGCUGUGGGAGGAACAGCUUUCUUUUUGUCGCUGUUGCAUAGAUCUCCAGAGGCUUAAGGGUCUCUCUUGAAUCGUUAAGACUAUGGAGCCUCUCAUUGGUCUUAUUGGAAAAGAGAAAGGGAACUUCAAAUGGGAGAGCUUGGAUGGUUUGUUGCUUCUGUGGGGGAAGACCUGAUGACUGCAGCCAAAAUGAACAUCACAUAAUGAUUGAGAAAGCCAUAGCUCAAGCCACAGAGUCCGCUGCAUCCAGGCUUGCUUGCAAUGAUGUUUUGGAAAUUAAUUUCCCCAUUUCCCCCAUAGUACUGAACUCCUACUUUGCCUCAUCGGGGCCUUGUCUUUGAACUUAACGAUACUAUCCCACAAGCUGAAAUCGUAGAGACCCAGCAGAGCCUCUGGGUUCAUGAUCCUGAACUAUAAAAUUCCUCUGAAAUAAAGCUUUCCACUUUAUCAAA